UCCACAUCACGUUGGAAACACCGGUUUCCGCAUGAUCAUCGAAGUUAAGCAACGUCGAGCCGGGUCAGUACCUAGAUGGUUGAUCACUUAGGAAUACCAAGUGCUGUU